rnacentral:lncRNA from 1 species
UUUCACCACCGUUCGUCCUUCUAUCUACCUAAACAAGCAGUUGAUCGGUCCAUCAUUUUUAUAUGAACCUGCAAUCGCUCUUUAGGUGAAGAUGGUGGACCAUAGCGACGCAGACGUUCGGAACAGGUUCUGGUUAUUGGGGUUGGAGUAUGACGGCUUGGGAGUCACGGAAGUGUGGGGGAGAAGAAACAUUUGGAUUAGACAAGCCGACCGAUUAUAGAGGUUGUGUUAUGGCAGUAUAAAGAUAACAAACAGUUUUAGGCGGGGUGUUUGGAUGCACGAUUAAACCGAUAAUAGAUGUAUGGAGUUGCAAUUAUCAGUCUUGAGUAUCAGGUUUUAUGCUAUCUUGCUUGAUUUUAUCGUAGCGUCUUUCAGAUGAGGUUAACUUCAGAUGUAUGAUCGUUAAGGGGCCGCCGGUGAUGGUAUCCGAUACGAUUUCACCGGCGAUUGAAGGGCAACUAACAGGGAUAAAGAUAAGAGACUAUGGUCGUACACCGUUGACCCGUUUGUUGUGUGCUUCUCCAGCUUAGGACUAUCUUGAUGACAUACAAGCACAAAACACAUUCUGUUGUUUCUGAUGGAAAGACCAUAUCCAAAACGCUGAUAUUGAUUUCUACAUUAUCUGACACUGCACUUGUUUCGCAAGAAUACCCGUGUACACUGCUUGCAUU